GACGAACGCUGGCGGCGUGCUUAACACAUGCAAGUCGAACGAAGUGGAGAACGGGUGAGUAACGCGUAAUCAACCUGCCCUUCAGAGGGGGACAACAGGUGGACACGAGUGCUAAUACCGCAUACUGAAGGAGGGGCUUCCGUGUGAUUAGCUAGUUGGAGGGUUAACGGUCCACCAAGGCGAUGAUCAGUAGCCGGUCUGGGAGGAUGAACGGCCACAUUGGGACUGAGAAACGGCCCAGACGCCUACGGUAGGCAGCAGGGGGGAAUCUUCCGGAAGGGAGUAAAGUCUGACGGAGCAACGGCGCGGGAGGGAUGACGGCCUUCGGGUUGUAAAGCUCUGUUAAUCGGGACGCGGUACCGGAAUAGAAAGCCACGGCUAACUACGUGCCAGCAGCCGCGGUAAUAC
rnacentral:rRNA from 1 species